rnacentral:rRNA from 1 species
UGGGGAAUAUUGGACAAUGGGCGCAAGCCUGAUCCAGCCAUGCCGCGUGAGUGAUGAAGGCCCUAGGGUUGUAAAGCUCUUUCAGCGAGGAGGAUAAUGACGUUACUCGCAGAAGAAGCCCCGGCUAACUUCGUGCCAGCAGCCGCGGUAAUACGAAGGGGGCUAGCGUUGUUCGGAAUCACUGAGCGUAAAGCGCACGUAGGCGGACUUUUAAGUCAGGGGUGAAAUCCCGGGGCUCAACCUCGGAACUGCCUUUGAUACUGGAAGUCUGGAGUCCGAGAGAGGUGAGUGGAACUCCGAGUGUAGAGGUGAAAUUCGUAGAUAUUCGGAAGAACACCAGUGGCGAAGGCGGCUCACUGGCUCGGUACUGACGCUGAGGUGCGAAAAGCGUGGGGAGCAAACAGGAUUAGAUACCCUGGUAGUCCACGCCGUAAACGAUGGAAGCUAGCCGUCAGGGUGCAUGCAUCUUGGUGGCGCAGUUAACGCAUUAAGCUUCCGCCUGGGGAGUACGGUCGCAAGAUUAAAACUCAAAGGAAUUGACGGGGUCAUAGCUGUUUCCU